rnacentral:rRNA from 1 species
AGUGAACGCUGGCGGUAGGCCUAACACAUGCAAGUCGAACGGCAGCACAGUAAGAGCUUGCUCUUACGGGUGGCGAGUGGCGGACGGGUGAGGAAUACAUCGGAAUCUACUUUUUCGUGGGGGAUAACGUAGGGAAACUUACGCUAAUACCGCAUACGACCUACGGGUGAAAGCAGGGGAUCUUCGGACCUUGCGCGAUUGAAUGAGCCGAUGUCGGAUUAGCUAGUUGGCGGGGUAAAGGCCCACCAAGGCGACGAUCCGUAGCUGGUCUGAGAGGAUGAUUCGGCACACCGGAAAUGAGACACGGUUCCGACCUCUAAGGGGGGCAGGCGUGGGGAAUAUUGGGACAUGGGGCGAAGCCCGAAGCCGGCCAUCCGGGGGGGUGAAGGAGGGCCUCCGGGUGGAAAAGCCUUUUUGUUGGGAAGGAAAAGCGGCAGGUUAACACCCCGCGUUUCGACGGUAACCCAAAAAAAAGGCACCGCUAACUUCCUG